rnacentral:rRNA from 1 species
UACGGAGGGCGCAAGCGUUAUCCGGAUUCACUGGGUUUAAAGGGCGCGUAGGCGGGUCGUUAAGUCAGGGGUGAAAUCCCGGAGCUCAACUCCGGAACUGCCUUUGAUACUGGCGAUCUUGAGUUCGAGAGAGGUGAGUGGAACUGCGAGUGUAGAGGUGAAAUUCGUAGAUAUUCGCAAGAACACCAGUGGCGAAGGCGGCUCACUGGCUCGAUACUGACGCUGAGGUGCGAAAGCGUGGGGAGCAAACAGG